GACGAACGCUGGCGGCGUGCUUAACACAUGCAAGUCGAACGGAAAGGCCCUGCUUUUGUGGGGUGCUCGAGUGGCGAACGGGUGAGUAACACGUGAGUAAACUGCCCUUGACUUUGGGAUAACUUCAGGAAACUGGGGCUAAUACCGGAUAGGAGCUCCUGCUGCAUGGGGGGGGUUGGAAAGUUUCGGCGGUUGGGGCUGGUCUCGAGGCUUAUCAGCUUGAUGGUGGGGUAGUGGCUUACCACGGCUUUGACGGGUAGGCGGCCUGGGCGGUUGACCGGCCACAUUGGGACUGCGAUACGCCCCAGACUCCUACGGGAGGCAGCAGUGGGGAAUAUUGCACAAUGGGCGGAAGCCUGAUGCAGCAACGCCGCGUGCGUGAUGACGGCCUUCGGGUUGUAAACCGCUUUCGCCUGUGACGAAGCGUGAGUGACGGUAAUGGGUAAAGAAGCACCGGCUAACUACGUG
rnacentral:rRNA from 1 species